rnacentral:siRNA from 1 species
AUCAAGAUCAUGGGCCCUCAAAG